AGAGUUUGAUCCUGGCUCAGGACGAACGCUGGCGGCGUGCCUAAUACAUGCAAGUCGAGCGAGCUUGCCUAGAUGAUUUUAGUGCUUGCACUAAAUGAAACUAGAUACAAGCGAGCGGCGGACGGGUGAGUAACACGUGGGUAACCUGCCCAAGAGACUGGGAUAACACCUGGAAACAGAUGCUAAUACCGGAUAACAACACUAGACGCAUGUCUAGAGUUUGAAAGAUGGUUCUGCUAUCACUCUUGGAUGGACCUGCGGUGCAUUAGCUAGUUGGUAAGGUAACGGCUUACCAAGGCAAUGAUGCAUAGCCGAGUUGAGAGACUGAUCGGCCACAUUGGGACUGAGACACGGCCCAAACUCCUACGGGAGGCAGCAGUAGGGAAUCUUCCACAAUGGACGAAAGUCUGAUGGAGCAACGCCGCGUGAGUGAAGAAGGGUUUCGGCUCGUAAAGCUCUGUUGGUAGUGAAGAAAGAUAGAGGUAGUAACUGGCCUUUAUUUGACGGUAAUUACUUAGAAAGUCACGGCUAACUACGUGCCAGCAGCCGCGGUAAUACGUAGGUGGCAAGCGUUGUCCGGAUUUAUUGGGCGUAAAGCGAGUGCAGGCGGUUCAAUAAGUCUGAUGUGAAAGCCUUCGGCUCAACCGGAGAAUUGCAUCAGAAACUGUUGAACUUGAGUGCAGAAGAGGAGAGUGGAACUCCAUGUGUAGCGGUGGAAUGCGUAGAUAUAUGGAAGAACACCAGUGGCGAAGGCGGCUUUCUGGUCUGCAACUGACGCUGAGGCUCGAAAGCAUGGGUAGCGAACAGGAUUAGAUACCCUGGUAGUCCAUGCCGUAAACGAUGAGUGCUAAGUGUUGGGAGGUUUCCGCCUCUCAGUGCUGCAGCUAACGCAUUAAGCACUCCGCCUGGGGAGUACGACCGCAAGGUUGAAACUCAAAGGAAUUGACGGGGGCCCGCACAAGCGGUGGAGCAUGUGGUUUAAUUCGAAGCAACGCGAAGAACCUUACCAGGUCUUGACAUCCAGUGCAAACCUAAGAGAUUAGGUGUUCCCUUCGGGGACGCUGAGACAGGUGGUGCAUGGCUGUCGUCAGCUCGUGUCGUGAGAUGUUGGGUUAAGUCCCGCAACGAGCGCAACCCUUACCCACAGUAGCCAGCACAAAAGGUGGGCACUCUGUGGGGACUGCCGGGGACAACCCGGAGGAAGGUGGGGAUGACGUCAAAUCAUCAUGCCCCUUAUGGCCGGGGCUACACACGUGCUACAAUGGCGUAAACAAAGGGAAGCGAGAGAGUGAUCUUAAGCGAAACUCAAAAAUAACGUCCCAGUUCGGAUUGCAGUCUGCAACUCGACUGCAUGAAGCUGGAAUCGCUAGUAAUCGCGGAUCAGAAUGCCGCGGUGAAUACGUUCCCGGGUCUUGCACACACCGCCCGUCA
rnacentral:rRNA from 1 species